GACAGAGGGUGCAAACGUCGUUCGGAAUUACUGGGCGUAAAGCGCGUGUAGGCUGUCUCGAAAGUCGGAUGUGAAAGCCCUGGGCUCAACCUAGGAAGUGCAUUCGAAACUUCGAGACUCGAGUCCUGGAGAGGAUCGCGGAAUUCUCGGUGUAGAGGUGAAAUUCGUAGAUAUCGAGAGGAACACCGGUGGCGAAGGCGGCGAUCUGGACAGUGACUGACGCUGAGACGCGAAAGCGUGGGGAGCAAACAGG
rnacentral:rRNA from 1 species